rnacentral:lncRNA from 1 species
CGGCCAACAUAUCGGUUAUCGGCUUUCAAAAAUAAAGAAUAAUCGGUUAUCGGUAUCGGCCAAAAUUUUCAUAUCGGUGCAUCCCUAAUCUGAGGUAUAUAAAACUGAAGUUAUUCUUAUUGAUUUGACUAUCACUCAUUUAAAUGAAAAAAGUUACUAUAUUUUUAUCAAAGUAACACUCAAUUGACAGUUAGUUCCGGUCCUCUAGAUUAUCUGAUUGAUUGAGUUAAUAUUUAGUAAUGUGUUGUGUUGCUUAAGUACAAAAAUGGACAUUUAACAGCCUGUGUUAAUUUUUGCAGAACAUCAAAUAUGAUUAAUCAGUUCACAAAGGGACUGAAUGCUUAUGGACAGUUCUGGGAUAUGGUAAGAACUCACUGGGUUGAGUUUUUGCCCAUCUUUACCAACAUGCAUGAGCCCCUUUCCAGAAGCACAUUUAGAGACCUGUUCCAAAUCCACUGGAGUAAAUCAGGGACCAAGAAGAGGGAGGCUGAGGAAGAGACUAUACACUACUGGGAACUGGUACUUAAGAUGAUUGAAGAUAAAAAACCAAAAGCUCCACAAAACGAUUUGCAUUUUGAGGAGAUUUUGGCUUUCAUAACUGGAGCGGGUGAAGUCCCACCACUUGGGUUCUCCCCGAAGCCCAGCAUUCACUUCUACCAACCAGAGCAGCGUGGAUGCCGUCUACCGUUUGCUAACACAUGCAUGAUGGGAUUGUUCCUGCCCAGGGUUGUGAAAGAUGAAGUGGAACUUUACAGGAUGCUCCUGAGAGCAAUCAGAGACUCAGCUGUUUUUGGGAGAACAUAAAUGUAUAUAAUUCUUUAUUAUAAUGUACACGGUCACAUCCAUAAUUAUGUAUAUUUAUAAGCUUUAUUUCAUUAUUUAUUUCAUUACUUAAGAAGAAAGCACUUAUGCAAUUACUGUAUAUUUUUGACAUAAAUAUGUUUUGCAUUCUAUGCCAGAUAUUUUUUUAAAUAUUUGUAAUAUAUACAAUAUAUUUAUAUUUGUAAUGUUCCUGAUAACUUUCUUGUAGUUGACUGCAUAGUAGUCACGUGUUACAUUUACGAGUGUUUACAGAUCGAAGAGAAUAGGACCUAUCAAUCAUUAUUCUGUAAACCUGUUUUACCUGACACACCUAUGCAGUAACACGGUCUACCAUAUCGUUUUCUGAGCUGUGCUUUGGUUUCUCUUUUUUGCUUAACUUACCCUGUCAAAGAAUGCUUUGGUACGCUGAAUAAACUGGAAACAGCGUAUUAUCUAAUCUUUAACGUGUUUUCCAUUAAAAUAUUUAUUUCGGAGUGAAACAGAGUUUACAACCUGUUUUAUUAGAGACGUCGAAAAAUUUUGAGAUGGAUAGAAUUACAGCACCUACUCAUUUCUAUGGUAUCCACAAACCGCGAUUGACUUUCAAAGCUGUAAUGUGAUUGGUUUACGUGGCACACGUGAUCCAAGUUGACCGUUAUGUUUUCUCCAACGGCAGAGGAUGGUUUCUCGUAUCCACUGCUAUCCACAUCCCGCUCAGUAAUGGCAGUCCUACUGUAGCUCUUGCUAUAGGAAAAUUACUGGUUGGCAAACUAUUUUCCGCUCUUUCAAGCGGCUCAC